UCGGAUCCCGGAUCCUAUGCAAACACCAGGGUUUAGCGUUCGCAGCCUAUUUCCACUUAUUCCAAUGCCAUGUCCGAUUUUAAUUUCAGUUUCCGUUUCGGUUUUAAUUUAGUCACCCUACACUGCCCUAGUUGUUCACUUGAUUCACUUCCGUAUUCCCAACGAAAACCUGGAAGAGAAGAGAGAGCGCGAGGUGUUGCAGAGACUUCUCCUUGUGGAUUCCUCCCUCCCCCGAAGUUUACUCAUCGGCUGUUAUCUAUUGUCUGUGGCGGAAAGGAAGAGCAGAGAGACGAGAGAAGGGUUUUCCAGUUGAGUCGCAAUUGGUGGCAAUGCAUAAAAAACAGACAUCUAAAGGUGGUUCAUCCACCAGGAAGAAGAAUCUCAAGGAUGGAGAAUUGGACUUCAGAAAGAUACUGCAGGAUGUUGAGUACUUGGGUACUACUUUUCUCUUUGAAACCUAUUUAUAUUAGCUAUGUUUUAAAAAUUUACAGCCGUCAGAGAGUUGUGAAUUUCUGAUGAAAUACCCAUAACUUAUCUUGUUUGUUGAUGCAUUGUUGUUACCUUAUAAUAUGUAUUGAAAGAGAAGGAAAGAACUGAUUACCCAAAGAAAAAAGGGGAGGGGAAGAUUUGGCUGGGAAGAAUCAGUUUAUGUCCUCUUGUCUACCUCCCUGUGGCCUUCUUUCACCUAUCAGUAGAAACAAGACAUGGCGUGGAUCAGUUUUAGGUGCAAUAAGGUGUGGGUUUACCCUGUAACGACUGUGUACACUUAUUUUUUUGCUCUUGUAAUGACCCACACUUGAUCAGCGUUCCACUAAGAUUAGUUGGUGAUGAUCGUGCUAUA